rnacentral:misc_RNA from 1 species
UACUUUCGUUUCCUCUCUUGCUUCAUUAUCAUCAUCAUCUUGCUGUUAUAAUUGUUUGUUUUUCUAUUUUUAGUUCAAUAUGAUUCCUUGGUGAUUCUGUUUGCCUAUUUUCGUCAUUGUUUUUGGUGUGUUGGGCGUAGUUUUGAUAAUGAUAGCGCUUAUGGGUGUUUUUCUUUUCUUGCUUCCUCUAUUUUGUUCAAUCAUUUUGUGAUCAAAUUGAUUGUAAAAUCUGUCUUCUUUCGCCUUCCCUUUAUUGUUUUGGGUUCACUACUUGAAUGUUUAGAAAUCAGUUCUCUUGACAGUAUCUUAGUAUCUUUCUCCGUAAAUUGUGAGAUUACCUCUUUUGAUUUAGCAAAUAGUUUUAAUUAUAUAGUUUGAUCGGUUUUUGGUGCAACCUUUUCUGAUUGGGGUUCAUUCCAGUAUAAUAGACGAUAAUUACAAAUUAUUAGCUUUUACGCAUGAAUUUUGAUUAUCACUUGUAAUCUUACAUGCCUGACUUGUUCUCGCAGGAUAUGAAGCUCCAAACUUG